rnacentral:rRNA from 1 species
CCCUUAGAUGUUCUGGGCCGCACGCGCGCUACACUGAUGCAUUCAACGAGUUUAUAACCUGGAUGGAGACGUCUCUGGGUAAUCUUUUAAACCUGCAUCGUGAUGGGGAUAGAUCUUUGAAAUUAUAGAUCUUCAACGAGGAAUUCCUAGUAAACGCGAGUCAUCAGCUCGCAUUGAUUACGUCCCUGCCCUUUGUACACACCGCCCGUCGCUCCUACCGAUUGAACGUGCUGGUGAAGCGUUAGGACUGGCUCUCGGGGCAGGUCUCCUGCCCCUUGAAUCGGGAAUUUCGUUGAACCCUCCCGUUUAGAGGAAGGAGAAGUCGUAACA